GGCGGACGGGUGAGUAACGCGUGGGGAAUCUACCUUUUAGUGGGGAAUAACGCUCCGAAGGAGUGGUAAUACCGCAUGUGACCAUUGGCUGGGAUGUUGAUGGUGAAACCCUGGGACCUUCGGGCCAGGGGCUAAAAGAGGAUCCUGCGUCUGAUUAGCUAGUUGCGGGGUAACGGCCCACCAAGGCGACGAUCAGUAGCCGGCCUGAGAGGGUGAUCGGCCACACUGGAACUGAGACACGGUCCAGACUCCUACGGGAGCAGCAGUGGGGAAUUUUGCGCAAUGGACGAAAGUCUGACGCAGCAACGCCGCGUGGUGAUGAAGGUC
rnacentral:rRNA from 1 species